UUGGAGGGCAAGUCUGGUGCCAGCAGCCGCGGUAAUUCCAGCUCCAAUAGCGUAUAUUAAAGUUGUUGCAGUUAAAAAGCUCGUAGUUGAACCUCGGGGUCUACCCAUUGGUCAGGCUUAAUUGUCUGCACUGGUGAGAUGGAUCUCUACCUUCUGAGGAACUUUCAUGCCAUUUAUUUGGUGUGAUGGGAAAUCAGGACUGUUACUUUGAAAAAAUUAGAGUGUUUAAAGCAGACUAUCGUCUGAAUACAUUAGCAUGGAAUAAUGAAAUAGGACGGACUGAUUCUAUUUCGUUGGUUUCUAGAAUCACCGUAAUGAUUAAUAGGGAUAGUUGGGGGCAUUAGUAUUCAAUUGUCAGAGGUGAAAUUCUUGGAUUUAUUGAAGACUAACUACUGCGAAAGCAUUUGCCAAGGAUGUUUUCAUUAAUCAAGAACGAAAGUUAGGGGAUCGAAGACGAUCAGAUACCGUCGUAGUCUUAACCAUAAACUAUGCCGACUAGGGAUCGGACGAAGUUAAUUUUAUAAUGACGCGUUCGGCGCCUUACGGGAAAC
rnacentral:rRNA from 1 species